GUGGGGAAUCUUCCGCAAUGGACGAAAGUCUGACGGAGCAACGCCGCGUGAGUGAUGACGGUCUUCGGAUUGUAAAGCUCUGUUAAUCGGGACGAAAGAGCUCUGUGUGAAUAAUGCAGAGAAGUGACGGUACCGGAAUAGAAAGCCACGGCUAACUACGUGCCAGCAGCCGCGGUAAUACGUAGGUGGCAAGCGUUGUCCGGAAUUAUUGGGCGUAAAGCGCGCGCAGGCGGGUUUUUAAGUCUGUCUUAAAAGUUCGGGGCUUAACCCCGUGAGGGGAUGGAAACUGGAAACCUAGAGUAUCGGAGAGGAAAGCGGAAUUCCUAGUGUAGCGGUGAAAUGCGUAGAUAUUAGGAAGAACACCAGUGGCGAAGGCGGCUUUCUGGACGAAAACUGACGCUGAGGCGCGAAAGCCAGGGGAGCAAACGGGAUUAGAUACCCGAGUAGUCC
rnacentral:rRNA from 1 species